UGAUCCUUCUGUGGCUGAUAUGUGUGA
rnacentral:piRNA from 1 species